UGCCCAGCAACUUCUAUCCCUACCUCCUCGUGGUACUGGCCGGGGUACGAGUAACCUUGGGGAAGAUCGGGUAACCAACCCCCGGUAGGAACUUUGGUCGUAUGCUGACAGGGAAGG
rnacentral:ribozyme from 1 species